rnacentral:rRNA from 1 species
AUUGAACGCUGGCGGCAGGCCUAACACAUGCAAGUCGAACGAGUGGCGGUCGGGUGAGUAAUGUCUGUGAACCUGCCCCAUAUGGGGGGGUAACUCCUGGAAACGGUAGCUAAAACCGCAUACCAUCGGAUGUGCACAGAUGGGAUUAGCUUGUAGGGGAGGUAACGGCUCACCUAGGCGACUAUCCCUAGCUGGUCUGAGAGGAUGACCAGCCACACUGGAAUUGAGACACGGUCCAUACUCAUACGGGAGGCAGCAGUGGAGAAGAUUGAACAAUGGGCGCAAGCAUGAGGGAGCCAUGCAGCGUGUAUGAAGAAGGCCUUCGGGUUGUAAAGUACUUUCAGCGGGGAGGCGUUACCUGCAGAAGAAGCACCGGCUAACUCCGUGCCAGAAGCCGCGGUAAUUC